AUUGAACGCUGGCGGCAUGCCUAACACAUGCAAGUCGAACGGAGGUAGGGGCAACUCUACUUCAGUGGCGGACGGGUGAGGAAUGCGUCGGAAUCUACCCUAUGGUGGGGGAUAACACAGGGAAACUUGUGCUAAUACCGCAUAAUGUCGAGAGACCAAAAGCAGGGGACCGCAAGGCCUUGCGCGAUAGGAUGAGCCGACGCCCGAUUAGCUAGUUGGUAGGGUAAAGGCCUACCAAGGCGACGAUCGGUAGCUGGUCUGAGACGAUGAUCAGCCACACUGGGACUGAGACACGGCCCAGACUCCUACGGGAGGCAGCAGUGGGGAAUAUUGGACAAUGGGCGCAAGCCUGAUCCAGCAAUGCCGCGUGUGUGAAGAAGGUCUGCGGGUUGUAAAGCACUUUUGUUCGGGAAGAAAUCAUGCUGGUUAAUACCUGGUAUGGAUGACGGUACCGAAAGAAUAAGCACCGGCUAACUUCGUGCCAGCAGCCG
rnacentral:rRNA from 1 species